rnacentral:rRNA from 1 species
AACGCGAAGAACCUUACCUGGCCUUGACAUGCAGUGGACCGGGCGUGAAAGCGCCUUUCCCUUCGGGGCCGCUGCACAGGUGCUGCAUGGCUGUCGUCAGCUCGUGUCGUGAGAUGUUCGGUUAAGUCCGGCAACGAGCGCAACCCCUAUCCUUAGUUGCCAGCGGGUAAAGCCGGGGACUCUAGGGAGACAAACCUAUUGUAUAGGUGGGAAGGUGGGGAUGACGUCAAGUCAGUAUGGCCCUUACGGCCAGGGCUGCACACGUGCUACAAUGCCCGGUACAAAGGGAAGCGAAACCGCGAGGUGGAGCAAAUCCUCAAAACCGGGCCCAGUUCGGAUUGGAGUCUGCAACUCGACUCCAUGAAGUUGGAAUCGCUAGUAAUGCUGCAUCAGCUACGGCAGCGUGAAUACGUUCCCGGGCCUUGUACACACCG